ensembl:lncRNA
GCCCUCAACGCCCCCACCCCGCAGUUCUCUGCAAUGUCAUCUCUGAAGUUCCCCAAAUAGGGUUUCCUGCUGCCAGGAAAACCAGCGUGGACAGGCUGAGAAGCGUGAACCCAUACAGCGAUGCCACAGCCUGUCUCUGGAGCCCUUAUCUCCAGACCCAGCUGGGAACUUGAUGUAUUUAUUAGCUUCUCCCAGGACCUCCUCUGUCCAACCCACAUCUUUGUUGGUACUGCAAGAAAGUGACCUUCCUGCAGAUAGCUGUGUCUGGGCGGGGGGGAAGCUGUAGUAAAUCCAUCCAGCCUGCAGCCUGCAGGGUGACCCCAUCGGGGUAGAGGAGAUGGCGGAGGAGGCUUGAAGAGAUGCGGACAGAGGUACUAGUCGACGGAGCUGGGAACAGAGUUGCCCAAAUCCUAAUGAACUGGAACCAGAAGAGAGGAAGGGGAGAGAGAUACCUGCCACGCCACCGGCGGUACGCGUGGCGCUUUGGAAAAGAUGCUGCCAUCACGAGCCUGAGCCCACACCACGCCGCUCCCCAUCCUCAAGGAGCAGCAGCCUCAGCACGGGUCUCAGUGGGGCUGCAGCGCCCUCUGCUGGCCAGUUUGGGAGCCUCUCCGGCUCGACUCCCCUUCCGCCUGGGCUGGAGCCACAAGGAGGGACUCUCUC